UAAGACCUGUGCAGUACUUCAGUUGAUGACUUUCAUCUCAGCUUGAUCUGUGCCUGCAAUGCUUACCAGCAUUCUCCUGCUGCUGCAGUGGGCUUAAACCAUAGCAAGGUUUCAGUCGUGGUCAGGAUCAGACAUCCCAAGUUGGACACAGAGCACCUGAAUGAACACAGACCUAAGGUCCUAGCAAACAUAGUUUAAAACAUAUAAACUAGUUAUCUAACUCCCUAUCUGCCUAGGCAAUUAAGAGAUAAGAACUCGAAGAGUGAAGAAUGGUUAAAUCUGGAUGUUGGCCUAUGUGGAACAAGGGCACAGGGAGCAUUACUGCUCCUGUAAUUUGGAUACCCCAGCAGAGGCUGCAUAAGCUGAACCUGGAUAUUGAGCUACUCAGCCCAUCUUUCAUUUUCUGACACUGCCCUCAUCUUUUCAGAGACAGUUUGGUGACAUGUUAGGAGAGGAAACACCUAACGCGCUCUAAUGGCUGGUGCCCAGCCGGACUCAAGCUUCCUUAAACAUCAAUGUGAGACCUUUGUUUCAGCUUUGACCAGCAGAUGGGCCUGAGUUUACAAAGUUAAGUCAGUUUAGAUUCCAUAUUCUUAUUUGAUACUCCAUUGCUCAUUAUAAUCAAUUAAAAAUAGGAGCUUUCUGGGACUUGAUUUAGACCUACAGGUUUUUGGGUCUUUUCCACAUAGUUUUCUGUAGUGGAAAUGGUAAAAGCAUGCUGCUUUUUCUCAUUCCACUUCUUCGCCGAAGCUGCUUAAGAAAAUGAGAUACAACAAAUCCAUUUAGGAUUAUGUUGGAAAAGCAUCUCUGCUUUUAAUAUUAACCAGAUUUUUACUGCUAAGUUUUGCUGGCAAAUCUCUGAAAGUUUCAGCUUGCAACUUAUCCGGAUCAUUUAAAUCUACAACACUGGCUUUGCAGUCUUGCAAGAACAUCUGUUUUGAUUUCCAAAGCUAUCUUUUUUAGCCCUGGAACACUCUUCUUUAGUGUUGUAGGAGAUUUUUUUCGGAAUCUUAAAGGGCCUUAGUUAUAGCUCCGAAACAUAAUGAAAAUCAGGAUGAAGUACCUCAGAGUAAUGUUUCUUGUGCCGGUCAUUUCACUGAAUAUAUUCAGUGUAAAUGGACAAAGAAACAGCUGGAUGUCCACAUCACACUUUCUUUUCUAUGACUUCAGUGAAACCUGGCAAUACAGUACCAUUGUGUGCUACACCUCUUAUUGUGCUCUAAUUGAGGCAUAGUUUGUAUUUAUAUAUAUCUUUAUAUUUAUUAAUUAAUGACUAUUAAUAUGUCUAGUAACGUGAUGUUGAUUUUCUUUGAUGGCAAAUGCAAGUAUUUCAUGGGGGAAGUAUUGGUCUGAGUCCAAAUUUUUAAAAAUUAUUUUAUCAUUUUCAAAAUUAAAUUCCUGAAAAAUAUUGAUAUACUGCAACCAGACAGUGUAUCAUGUAGAGAAAGGACCAGUUACACAUAUGUUCCUUACAUUAAUUCAGCAUUCUAAAUGCAAGAAUUAAUAAUGAUAUUGUGUACACCUGCAAAUGAAAAUCAAAACAGAUUAUGAUUUUGAUAACUCUGCUUCUCACUAAAACUUGGAACAAGUGCUCCUACUGAAAAUAACUCACUAGCUGCUAACUUGUGUUCUCAAAAGCUUCACAGCUUAGCAGAAAAAUAUUGAUUACUUGGCAUUCCAUAUCAGUUCCAAAUAACUAUUCCUUAAUCAUGCUUUUUUAUACUUCAGUAUUUAUAUACAUUAAUUUCUUAGUUCAUAUAUGCACAGAUUUCAUCACUCUACUGGCUAAAACCUUUAUCGUCUGACACACAUCUCAUGUACAUUAACACAAAUACCAUAUUAUUGUUGAUAGGAUUUUAUCCCAAUCUUCUAUCAAAUUGUUUGCUAACAUAAAUCUGUCAUUUUUGUAUAUGCAUACCAAAAAAUAAUUAUGUCUUUAUUCCACAGUUUAUACCAGAUUGAUGUGUAGUGCCCUAAAUCUCAAAUACAUUUCUGGGUGAAAACCAAGUUUUUAUAGGCAUUGUUUAAUUUGUACAUUUAUUAACAGAACUUCUAGUUAAAUUCUAAUGGAAUUUGUCUUGUCAUAAUUGCAAUGUAACAUACUUGGAAUAUAUUAUUAAUU